rnacentral:lncRNA from 1 species
AUGAGACACAGACACAUGGUUUACCUGCCAAAACAAACCACAGCAUAUAAACACAUCCUAAACCCACAAGGGCCGUCGUUGCUGUCGGUGAGACAGCGGAGAGACAUGAAACGAGCUAAAAGCUGCGACUGGAUCCGGACAGAGGAGCAGCAAUGUGCAAACCUUGAUGGUUGUUUUCUUGCUGCUCCCUGGGUUUGGCAUGGUGCUGCUGGCCAGGAGCACGCUGGGAGGCUGUGGCAGGAGGAUGGAGCUGGACCAGAGCUACAGGAGCCGGGUAGGACUUUCCAAUGACCGUUGCCUUGGAUGCCACACAGGGCAACCUCCUGAGUGGAAUAAUAUUUAAUACCCCAGUAAUCAGAGGGUGUGUGUGUGUGUGUGUGUGUGUGUGUGUGUCUGUGUGUGUGUGUGUGUGUGUCUGUGUGUGUCUGUGUGCGUCUGUAAGCAAGCCUCAAAGCUGAAAAUAUUGACGGCUACACUGUGAUAAUGUCUCUGGGUUUUUGACUUCAAGAGGAGACCCUGCUUCACUAUGCAGCGCCUUUAUUAGGUGUUCAUUUACUGCGUCCAUACGCUUCCUGUCCACCUCUAUUAAUAGGAACAAGUCAGAAGCAGUGGAGCUUCUUACCUUUCCCUGAUUCAUCACUGACCUUCCUUGUUUCUGAUCUUUCAAACAUAAUCUACCUACAGAGUAAGCCUUUCUGACAUUCUUUUAAGCCACACUUUAACCAGUUGCUAUUAAAUAUAGGGCCAAUAGGAAACUGAACUGCGUCAUUGUAACAGUUCUUGCUAUCUAAAUGCUAAUGAUCUAAAUUGGUAUUUUUUGUGAACAUGGAUUAUCUUCAUUAAAGCCAGAAACCAGAGGAACAAGCCGUCAUACCAUAUGUAUGUUCAAAGACACACGUGUCACAUCUUCUCAUAUACAUUCUUUCAUAUUAACAAGGAGGAAGAUAAUUGGAAUUAGACUAUACGAGACGUAAUUUAGCUGGAAAGCUCUUACUAAAGCUGCCAGGCCAAUCGUUUUCCAGCUGUGUUCAUUUUUUUUUUUUUAAAGAAACUUCUCAGCAAAUCACUAGGACGUACAUAGUGAAAGACACGCUGCGGCUAGUAGGAAGACACUUCAGCUUCCCACUAUUAUUUAACAAUGUGCUAUUUAAAAAAGUGCACAAUAGCAACUUUCUUGCAAGAUCGUGCAUGAUUUGUUAUAGAGAUAAUUGUUUUCCAUCUGUUUAUACUGUAUGUGAGUCGCCAAACUGUGUGAAACUACAUGGAGUUAUGAACCACUUCUUCUGCAAUGGGCGCAAUCAUAAAUAAAGUGCUGAGUUAUGCUUCUCA